rnacentral:rRNA from 1 species
GACGAACGCUGGCGGCGUGCUUAACACAUGCAAGUCGAACGAUGAAGCCGGAGCUUGGUCUGGUGAAUUAGUGGCGAACGGGUGAGUAACACGUGAGUAACCUGCCCUUGACUCUGGGAUAACUGCUAGAAAUGGUAGCUAAUACCGGAUACGACCCUCGGAGGCAUCUCCAGGGGGUGGAAAGAAUUUCGGUCAAGGAUGGACUCGCGGCCUAUCAGCUAGUUGGUGAGGUAACGGCUCACCAAGGCGACGACGGGUAGCCGGGCUGAGAGGGGGACCGGCCACACUGGGACGGAGACACGGCCCAGACUCCUACGGGAGGCAGCAGUGGGGAAUAUUGCACAAUGGGCGCAAGCCUGAUGCAGCAACGCCGCGUGAGGGAUGACGGCCUUCGGGUUGUAAACCUCUUUUAGUAGGGAAGAAGCGAAAGUGACGGUACCUGCAGAAAAAGCACCGGCUAACUACGUGCCAGCAGCCGCAGUAA